CACACUAUGCAUCUACCAAGCAGGAAUAGCCGGAUAUGUAAAUGAGUUGAGCAAACGAAAGUCAGUCUUUCGACGACCGAAUAUUCAUAGACGCUGCUUCUGUUGAGCAAGAGAAACGGAAAGUGGCACACUGAAGGCUCAGGAGGAAAAAGAAUAUUGGCCAGAUCGGAAUGGUAAACUCUGUAUGUUCAUUCUGAAAUAUGGAGAUCAUCAACACAAUUAUUUUUCAUAUCCCUACUCUGGAUAUCAACACACAACAUUCACCAUCAGAGAAAGCCUGGACCGCUCUGUCAUUGAGCUGCACUGUAGCACACAUUCUGUAGUUGAAACAUGUCCCAACUAUGCAAAGAAGGAGAAGGACCAGCAGCGGCGAGAGGAGGAACAGCGGCGGCAGGAGAGACAGGAAAGGGAGAGGAGGAUUGAGGAGGAGAUCAGCAAGGAGACUGAGGAGGCCAGGAGGAGUCUGACAGAGGCAAAGCUGAACCUCAGUCCUAGUCUGAGGGAGCAGGAGGGUCAUCGGCAGCGCACACAUGUAUUACAGCAGGUGAUGGGGGACCAUGAAACUGUCAUUGAAAGGGAUGAGGUAUGAUGUAUUUUAUCUAAGCAGAUCAUUGAUUAGUACAACAUUAUUCCCUUAAAAAAACAGUUAAUCCCUCUGGGUAACACUUUACAAUAAGUGUACAUGAAUUACAAUGUAUUACAAAUAAAGAAUUGACUA